rnacentral:rRNA from 1 species
AAUGAACGCUGGCGGCAGGCCUAAUACAUGCAAGUCGAACGAGUGGCGGACGGGUGAGUAAUGUCUGGGAAACUGCCUGAUGGAGGGGGAUAACUACUGGAAACGGGAGCUAAUACCGCAUACCAUCGGAUGUGCCCAGAUGGGAGUAGCUAGUAGGUGGGGUAAAGGCUCACCUAGGCGACGAUCCCUAGCUAGUCUGAGAGGAUGAACAGCCACACUGGAACUGAGACACGGUCCAGACUCCUACGGGAGGCAGCGUUGGGGAAUAUUGCACAAUGGGCGCAAGCCUGCUGCAGCCAUGCCGCGUGUAUGAAGAAGGCCUUCGGGUUGUAAAGUACUUUCAGCGGGGAGGCGUUACCCGCAGAAGAAGCACCGGCUAACUCCGUGCCAGCAGCCGCGGUAAUAC